rnacentral:rRNA from 1 species
UAGGGAAUUUUCCACAAUGGGCGAAAGCCUGAUGGAGCAACGCCGCGUGCAGGAUGAAGGCCUUCGGGUUGUAAACUGCUUUUGUUAGUGAAGAUUAUGACGGUAACUAGCGAAUAAGGGUCUGCUAACUACGUGCCAGCAGCCGCGGUCAUACGUGGGACCCAAGCGUUAUCCGGAAUUACUGGGCGUAAAGAGUUGCGUAGGUGGCAGAGUAAGUUGGUAGUGAAAGCGUGUGGCUCAACCAUACAUCCAUUACCAAAACUGCUCAGCUUGAGGACAAGAGAGGUCACUGGAAUUUCUAGUGUAGGAGUGAAAUCCGUAGAUAUUAGAAGGAACACCAAUGGCGUAGGCAGGUGACUGGCUUGUUCCUGACACUAAGGCACGAAAGCGUGGGGAGCGAACGGGAUUAGAUACCCCCGUAGUCC